CUCCUCCCUUGUUUUUAAAAAGAAUUAUUCACCCCAAACUCAAUCUCUCUCUCUCUCUCUCUCUCUCUCUCAACCCUCUAUCUAGAUCGUCGGCGUGAAGAUCUCUUUCAAAUCCAAAAGGGUGGCAGUUUUAUUAACCCUUGUUAAACUGGAAAGACGUUAGCGAGACAAAUUAGACCGACAUAUUUGCACAAUUUCUUCAGAAUUUGAAAUCAAAGACGUCGACGACACAAGCCCUUUUUUUCACAAUCUCUUGCCCACAGAUUCUCGACUCAGAAGUAAGAUGAUUCCUGUCUCUUGAAGCAGAUCCUUAAAAGCUAUGGACUUGCAUUGGGGAGAAAAAAAUCACUAAAUGAAUUGGUCGAGGACAAUAUGCUUCAUUGACUCUCAUAAAGAGCAAUGUAAGUUGAAAACCUUUUGUCCGAUAAUAAAAGGAGCAUAGCGGCCAGGGAUUACAUGGAAAAAGAGAUUUUUCGCCUCCUACAAUCAACAUGUGGGUUCCAGAUCCUCUGUGGCCUCAAUUUCAUUAUAAGUUGGAAAUGAUUAUUUCGUUAUAAAUCAUCUCAACAAGUUCCAACUCCUUGUAUUAUAAGUUUCAUUUUCACAUGAGAUUGGGAAUCCGUGAGCCCAUAUAUUACUUUCCAUGAAACAUUUCAAUUGCAAUAUCCUCAUCUUUAUUUCAGACAGUAUUCUCAAUUGUCAUACUUUAAUUUCUGGUUAUAAGCUAAGAAAGGUUGAACAUGAUGUAAUCAUGCUUGUAUGCACUUUUAUGUUUUUAGUCUAGCUUUCCCCUUUAGUGUUUUUUUGUAUUAUUGACAACAUUCUAUUGGGAUGUAUAUACAUACAGGUGCUAUUGUAUUGAUGCGAACCCGAUCAGCAAGGUUGCAAUCGAACUUACAGGAUAUUGAAUCGGAUCCAAAGAACGCCAAUAUGACCAAGGUUUAUGGAUCUGACCCCAAAAUAGUGAACCAAGCAACCCAACAAGAACGUUGCUUUAAAGACCUCUUGAUCACACGAUUGAAGAAAUCACACCCGGAUUGUGGAUUUGAACCAAUAAAAGAUGAACCAAAAAAUCCAACGGUAACGUUGACGUGAAAG
rnacentral:lncRNA from 1 species